AAUGCUCCGUAUUGGGGAAGGAUGAGAAGCUUCGACCAAGGUUCGAGUCUCACGCAGUGAGACAACGCGCUUCAGCGCGGCCCGCA
rnacentral:sRNA from 1 species